AGACCCGAAACCCGGUGAUCUAGCCAUGGGCAGGUUGAAGGUUGGGUAACACUAACUGGAGGACCGAACCGACUAAUGUUGAAAAAUUAGCGGAUGACCUGUGGCUGGGGGUGAAAGGCCAAUCAAACCGGGAGAUAGCUGGUUCUCCCCGAAAGCUAUUUAGGUAGCGCCUCGUGAAUUCAUCUCCGGGGGUAGAGCACUGUUUCGGCUAGGGGGCCAUCCCGGCUUACCAACCCGAUGCAAACUGCGAAUACCGGAGAAUGUUAUCACGGGAGACACACGGCGGGUGCUAACGUCCGUCGUGAAGAGGGAAACAACCCAGACCGCCAGCUAAGGUCCCAAAGUCAUGGUUAAGUGGGAAACGAUGUGGGAAGGCCCAGACAGCCAGGAUGUUGGCUUAGAAGCAGCCAUCAUUUAAAGAAAGCGUAAUAGCUCACUGGUCGAGUCGGCCUGCGCGGAAGAUGUAACGGGGCUAAACCAUGCACCGAAGCUGCGGCAGCGAACGUAUCACCCAAGACAACUUUACGGAGUUGACGAUUGACGGAGCGAAGCGACGUCAAAGCGUUCAUUAAAGUCGAGUUGGCUUAGGGAUACGUUCGUUGGGUAGGGGAGCGUUCUGUAAGCCU
rnacentral:rRNA from 1 species